rnacentral:lncRNA from 1 species
ACGCCAUCGAUCCAUUCUUAGUCCACGUACGCAUACGCAUGGGUCCCGGACGGACGGUGUCGUGUAUCCCGGCGAAUUCAAUGCCAUGUUCGGUGAGCGGAAACGGGCCAGAGGUACCACCAGUACCACUGCUGCCAUUGAAUUGAGAUCCAGACUCCAGGGAUGAACUGAGAUGACCGAUUCACGUCAAGCAAGCGUACGGGUGCACACUGCCGCCGGUUCAUCCACUCUGAUCCAUGUCCUCUUGAAACAAGACGUCCACAUUUCCCAUAGUAGCAGCAGUUCACAUGAGAUGUGUACAGCUGCAUUAUCCAUUUUUCUUGCUGAAAAUUUUCCAUUAUAUUUCAAAUCGUACUUACCUUGAUUCAGUAUAGUACUGGAGUAGUACGUAGUGUGCAUCUAUACCUGUGAAGGGUUACCAUUUUUUACAGUAUCUCGUGGAAAUCAAGGGCCGAAACAUGAUUUUAA